AUUAACCUCGGAUCAGGCAGGGAUACCCGCUGAACUUAAGCAUAUCAAUAAGCGGAGGA
rnacentral:rRNA from 1 species